UGUACACGCUGUGACUAGCAUAUCAAUAAGCGGAGGAAAAGAAACUAACAAGGAUUCCCCUAGUAACGGCGAGUGAAGCGGGAAGAGCUCAAAUUUGAAAUCUUAAAGGGUUUCCCUUUACGAAUUGUAGUUUAAAGAAGUGUUUUCUGUUGAGGUUUUGGUAAAAGUUCUUUGGAAUAGGACAUCAUAGAGGGUGAGAAUCCCGUAUUUGACCUUUACUUUCAACUUUGUGAUACACUUUCAAAGAGUCGGAUUGUUUGGGAAUGCAGUCCAAAAUGGGUGGUAAAUUUCAUCUAAAGCUAAAUAUUGGCGAGAGACCGAUAGCGAACAAGUACCGUGAGGGAAAGAUGAAAAGAACUUUGAAAAGAGAGUUAAACAGUACGUGAAAUUGUCAAAAGGGAAGCGUUUGACACCAGUGUUGUUUUUCUGAAAAUCAAUUAAAGAACUGUUUAUGCUAAGUUGUUUAGACUUUAUCAGCUAACUGUUUAGUUUUGAGCUUUUCUUUAAUGCACUUUUCAGUUAACAAGUCAACAUCAAUUUCUUUUGCUGUAAAAAAGCUUGAGGAAGGUGGCUUGAGAUUCGUCUUAAGUGUUUAUAGCCUCUUGCCUAUGCAGUCGGAGAGAUUGAGGUCUGCAGCGUAGAUCCUUCGGGGCUAAAUGCAUUUGUGCUAAGUUAUAGCAUUUUAUAGACAACUUGUUGACUAUGAUUUGUCUUGUAGCUUACUCGCUUAUGUUAUUUUACCUACGCUUAGGAUGUUGAUAUGCAUGACUGAUAU
rnacentral:rRNA from 1 species